rnacentral:miRNA from 1 species
UCGACGCCUUGGACGUAGGAAC